rnacentral:ncRNA from 2 species
UAUUAACUGAAUAAACGAUUUCAUAUAAUAGCAGGGAUACGGCCUGCGAGUUUCUACCGGUUCACCGUAAAUGAACCGACUAUGAAAGGAAGAAAAGAAGAU